GUGAGUCAUCGAAUCUUUGAACGCACAUUGCGCCCGCUAGUAUUCUGGCGGGCAUGCCUGUUCGAGCGUCAUUUCAACCCUCAAGCCCCCGGGCUUGGUGUUGGGGAUCGGCGAGCCUCUGCGCCCGCCGUCCCCCAAAUUUAGUGGCGGUCACGUUGUAACUUCCUCUGCGUAGUAGCACACUUAGCACUGGGAAACAGCGCGGCCACGCCGUAAAACCCCCAACUUUUGAACGUUUGACCUCGAAUCAGGUAGGAAUACCCGCUGAACUUAAGCAUAUCAAUAAGCGGAGGA
rnacentral:misc_RNA from 1 species